UAAAUGAGGGACCUGGCUAUAGCGCUGUAGAAAAAAUAAAAGGUUCAGAUUUGUUUUUACACAAGUCUGUCGAUUAUGCAAACUUACCAGCAUUUUCUUAUGGUUUUCUAACUUGACGCCGUUUGAAGAAGGGGAACGUCUCUUUUGCUUCACAACACGGGAAUGAAGAGAACUGUUCGCCUUCAAAGAAUUGUUCUGAUGCCCAACUAGGCCAACUGAAUGAAGGCAACAUGAGAAGUCUUCGGGGAGUUUUUUUUUUUUUUCCGGUUGUGUCUCCGGCGAUCUCUGGCCGUUCUUCUCUUCGUUCUAAUGCGCCAUUGAAGCCAGAUCUGGGAUUUUUCGCCGAUCUUCUCUCGACACGCGCCCCGUCUUCGUCUUUGCCGUCAUUUUCCGGUCUGACCGCUACUCUCCACGGCCUCGUCGGAGUUCAAGUUCACGGCGCUUGACCAGUACGUGUCAAGGAGUUUUGUCUCCCUGGUCGGCGCAUGAGGGACACGCACCAUCUUAUAGGUCUUGGUGGCUGGUGUUCGGUGGUCCAUGGUGGUCGUUUGCGGCAGGGAGAUCUCCGAAGCUGGUGCUGUCGCCGGUGGUUCAAAAACUCCCUGUUUUGGCCGGAUCUGAAUUGGUUUUCUGCCGUAUUUAUUCUUUCUUGUAUUUCUUAGGUUUAUUCAAAGUCUGCAUAUGAUUUUUGCAGAUAUUAUGGGUCUGUUUGUUGGGUUUGUUAACUCGGAUCAGUCCUCUUUUUUUAGUAGUAGAGCGUUAUUGUGAGAGAGUGACUCAAAUGCCAAUUCUUGUAAUAUUUGUGUAGUUGUAAGCAGCACCCAAGUCAAAUUUUCUGACUUAGUGUGUAGGAUGUUUGUAUUUCUACUCACUGUAACAGGCCUUCGAGCCUGAACUAGAAUUAAUACAA